rnacentral:rRNA from 1 species
ACACAUGCAAGUCGAACGGAAAGGCCCUUCGGGGUACUCGAGUGGCGAACGGGUGAGUAACACGUGGGUGAUCUGCCCUGCACUCUGGGAUAAGCCUGGGAAACUGGGUCUAAUACCGGAUAGGACCACACACUUCAUGGUGAGUGGUGCAAAGCUUUUGCGGUGUGGGAUGAGCCCGCGGCCUAUCAGCUUGUUGGUGGGGUAAUGGCUCACCAAGGCGACGACGGGUAGCCGGCCUGAGAGGGUGACCGGCCACACUGGGACUGAGAUACGGCCCAGACUCCUACGGGAGGCAGCAGUGGGGAAUAUUGCACAAUGGGCGCAAGCCUGAUGCAGCGACGCCGCGUGAGGGAUGACGGCCUUCGGGUUGUAAACCUCUUUCAGUAGGGACGAAGCGAAAGUGACGGUACCUACAGAAGAAGGACCGGCCAACUACGUGCCAGCAGCCGCGGUAAUACGUAGGGUCCGAGCGUUGUCCGGAAUUACUGGGCGUAAAGAGCUCGUAGGUGGUUUGUCGCGUUGUUCGUGAAAACUCACAGCUUAACUGUGGGCGUGCGGGCGAUACGGGCAGACUAGAGUACUGCAGGGGAGACUGGAAUUCCUGGUGUAGCGGUGGAAUGCGCAGAUAUCAGGAGGAACACCGGUGGCGAAGGCGGGUCUCUGGGCAGUAACUGACGCUGAGGAGCGAAAGCGUGGGUAGCGAACAGGAUUAGAUACCCUGGUAGUCCACGCCGUAAACGGUGGGUACUAGGUGUGGGUUUCCUUCCUUGGGAUCCGUGCCGUAGCUAACGCAUUAAGUACCCCGCCUGGGGAGUACGGUCGCAAGACUAAAACUCAAAGGAAUUGACGGGGGCCCGCACAAGCGGCGGAGCAUGUGGAUUAAUUCGAUGCAACGCGAAGAACCUUACCUGGGUUUGACAUGCACAGGACGUACUUAGAGAUUGGUAUUUCCUUGUGGCCUGUGUGCAGGUGGUGCAUGGCUGUCGUCAGCUCGUGUCGUGAGAUGUUGGGUUAAGUCCCGCAACGAGCGCAACCCUUGUCCUAUGUUGCCAGCGGGUAAUGCCGGGGACUCGUAGGAGACUGCCGGGGUCAACUCGGAGGAAGGUGGGGAUGACGUCAAGUCAUCAUGCCCCUUAUGUCCAGGGCUUCACACAUGCUACAAUGGCCAGUACAGAGGGCUGCGAAGCCGUAAGGUGGAGCGAAUCCCUUAAAGCUGGUCUCAGUUCGGAUUGGGGUCUGCAACUCGACCCCAUGAAGUCGGAGUCGCUAGUAAUCGCAGAUCAGCAACGCUGCGGUGAAUACGUUCCCGGGCCUUGUACACACCGCCCGUCACGUCAUGAAAGUCGGUAACACCCGAAGCCAGUGGCCUAACCUUUUGGAGGGAGCUGUCGAAGGUGGGAUCGGCGAUUGGGACGAAGUCGUAACAAGGUAGCCGUA